GAUCCUUCUUUGCCUUUGUCUUCUGCAUCUGCUCCAGUAUAUCUGCAGCCUCAGCAAGUGAUCUCUGGAAAGAGUUAGAGAGGGAGGGGAAAAUCAUUAUGGAGAAGAAGCUGAUGAUAUGAAGUCAAGCGUCGCUGCCCUCAUCAAGAUCAUGGGAUUAUUUCUCUUGCUGGCCUCUUGUGGAGCAGCAUCUACACUUAGAUCCCAUGUUUUCCAUGAGUUGAUGGAUUUUCGGAAUCAACGAGCCAACCAGGCGAGCGGGAAGGAACCGCCGAUGGCACCGCAGUGGUGGUCAGAGGAUUACGGCAUGCCGGAGAGGCGGCAACCCGUGCACAAUAAGGUCGAGCCGUGAUAAGUCCUUCUUAAUCUUUAAUGGAAUCUUGUAAUGUGUAUGGUGCUUGAACAGUUGAUGCAAACGCAAGGAUCGCUUCAGUGUAAUUACUAGCAAGUAGUCACUAGGAUCCCUUCUUGGUUAUAAUGCAGUAAUGGUGUUGUAGUGGCACUUAGCUUGAACUAAGCCCUUUGAAGGAGAAUGUGAAAACGGGGUUUGUUUCUUG